rnacentral:rRNA from 1 species
AGCGAACGCUGGCGGCAGGCCUAACACAUGCCAGUCGAACGAACUCUUCGGAGUUAGUGGCGGACGGGUGAGUAACACGUGGGAACGUGCCUUUAGGUUCGGAAUAACUCAGGGAAACUUGUGCUAAUACCGAAUGUGCCCUUCGGGGGAAAGAUUUAUCGCCUUUAGAGCGGCCCGCGUCUGAUUAGCUAGUUGGUGAGGUAAAGGCUCACCAAGGCGACGAUCAGUAGCUGGUCUGAGAGGAUGAUCAGCCACAUUGGGACUGAGGCACGGCCCAAACUCCUACGGGAGGCAGCAGUGGGGAAUCUUGCGCAAUGGGCGAAAGCCUGACGCAGCCAUGCCGCGUGAAUGAUGAAGGUCUUAGGAUUGUAAAAUUCUUUCACCGGGGACGAUAAUGACGGUACCCGGAGAAGAAGCCCCGGCUAACUUCGUG